rnacentral:rRNA from 1 species
GACGAACGCUGGCGGCGUGCUUAACACAUGCAAGUCGAACGGUAAGGCCCUUCGGGGUACACGAGUGGCGAACGGGUGAGUAACACGUGGGUGAUCUGCCCUGCACUUCGGGAUAAGCCUGGGAAACUGGGUCUAAUACCGGAUAGGACCACUGCCUGCAUGGGUGGUGGUGGAAAGCUUUUGCGGUGUGGGAUGGGCCCGCGGCCUAUCAGCUUGUUGGUGGGGUGAUGGCUUACCAAGGCGACGACGGGUAGCCGGCCUGGGAGGGUGACCGGCCACACUGGGACUGAGAUAGGGCCCAGACUCCUACGGGAGGCAGCAGUGGGGAAUAUUGCACAAUGGGCGCAAGCCUGAUGCAGCGACGCCGCGUGAGGGAUGACGGCCUUCGGGUUGUAAACCUCUUUCAGCACCGACGAAGCGCAAGUGACGGUAGGUGCAGAAGAAGGACCGGCCAACUACGUGCCAGCAGCCGCCGUAA